rnacentral:rRNA from 1 species
GGCGCACGGGUGAGUAACGCGUAUCCAACCUGCCCAUGUCUGGGGAAUAACCCGUCGAAAGGCGGACUAACUCCCCAUGGUCUCCGAUGAGGACAUCUGAAUUGGAGUAAAGUUUUGCGGACAUGGAUGGGGAUGCGUCUGAUUAGGUAGUAGGCGGGGUAACGGCCCACCUAGCCUACGAUCAGUAGGGGUUCUGAGAGGAAGGUCCCCCACAUUGGAACUGAGACACGGGCCAAACUCC